CUUUAUGAGAUGUCGUCGUCAAACUCCGACUGGAUUACACGCCAACCCCAAGCUCGUGGGUGGCUCGGAUGACGAAGCGGCUGGCGCUACCCGCGCUGGUAAGAGCGCCUC
rnacentral:ncRNA from 2 species